rnacentral:rRNA from 1 species
CGACCCCAGGUCAUGCGGGGUUACCCGCUGAAUUUAAUCA